rnacentral:lncRNA from 1 species
AAAAAGUGGAGUAAAAGUGAGGCACAUUUUACAAGAACAUAACUCCAUUAAAACGGAGUGAUAACUAUGCAAAGGUUUCUAUAGCAGCAAGGUGAGCUUGUUUUCCAAGUCUGUCAUAACCGGCAGCUUCCUAUAUAUACUGGUACUUUGCUGUGCCAAUUUGCUGUAAACGUCUAUUUCAUGCAUUUUCCGUGCAGCGACUGUGCCAGAAAGGUGAAUUAAGUGAAGAAACUUAGGAUGUUAUGGUACAAAGAACCUAAUAGCAGGAUGGUCUAACCCAUAGCUAUUAAAACUUCUGAUAACACUGUAGUCUCUAUCUAGGCUUAAGGGGAGAAUAUACAGGAGUGAAAGGAUACUAUCAAGCCAGCUGCAAGAUACUAACGAAUGCGUAAAUUGAAAAGUACCAAUACUUUUUGCACGUGUAGCUCAAAUUAGAAUGGAGAAUUUUGGCUCCAAAAAUCAGGUUAGUAGGCUCAUUUCCAUGUGCUUAAAAAUGUUUUUGUUGCUAUUACUCAUUGAUUAAGGGCUAGAGCAAGUAUGAAAUGUCUUUUUCCUCCAAACAAUCGGUUAUUAAUGAUACAUUGUUGGAUUUGGGGAUCCUACGAUUGCUAUGUGGGUGGUGAAUUAGAGUGGGGAGUUAGCUGGGAGGGAUGACAAGGUUUCAGUUUUGGUAUCUAUUUUGUCAGUGUUCUUGCUAGCUACAUUUCUGUUACUCUUAUUGGCCAGGUAAAUGUGUUAUAUUUAACCAGGUAAGUAGUUUAAAGGCAGAAAUUUUUAUUUGCAAAUGUCCCUACAAAUUGGCCCAUUUUAGUGGGUGGGAGAACAAAAAGGGAUUACCUAACUUUAAAAAAUAAUUUAAAUAACUUGCUAGUGGAAAAAAAUCAGUUUUUGUCAAUAUUUUCUUAAUCCGAAAUCACACUAGUAGUAAUAUGGUGAUUUUUAUUAUUAGGAGUGUUGUCCCUCUAGAGUGGCAUUUCGUGACAUUAAUAGAAAACCCUUUUUUCCCACCCCUCCCCAUCUUGAAAUUUUCUUUUUUAGGAUGUUGGUUCCUGCACCCAAGAACUGACCCUAUCACCUCUGCUCACGGUGGUAAAUAUAUCGUACAUCUCUUGAAAGGGAAAUAUCCAUGUCAUUUUUAUUAAAAGUCUCGUGCACAUGUGAAGUGCCCUCUCUGAAUUUAAGGUUUGGUUAAUACUGGUAUAUUUUUAUAAGAUUGAAAUUGUGUCCCCGUCUUUAACUUAAAACAUUUUCAUCAUCAGGGUCAAUGUGCUAAAAACCGAAUUGGAACAUUUUUAGGCACAGAUGGAAAAAAUGUUAUUGGCUCCUUGAAAAUGGGUAUGUGUGGUGAGGGGAAUAGAUCCACAAAAACGUGUGUACUUACAAACCAAGCUGUAGAGAUCAAGAAAAGAACUUAAGUGUGAUCUCAAGAUUUCUAAAUUGUCAAGAUUUACAUGGCAUUGUGGUGGAACUAGGUAACACUUAGAGCUUUUGGUAUGUAAUAACUAUUUGCUAUGGACUGAUUAAAUGUUUCAGAGGAUUGUGUUCUUAAAUUUUGGGGGCUUUUUGUUUUUUUAAACUGCCUCUCAGAUUAUAUUUAGUAGUUUAAACUUCUUUGCUUUAUUAUUUCAUUAAAGCAUAAAAAACUUCAGGUCUCUGAUAUAUUUAUUUUCACUUGUUCUACUAAUUAUUUACAGAACACCCUUUGUUAACUUUUAUAAAUGUGUAGUAUAUUAAAUGUCUAAAUUUUUGUUCAGUUGAAACUACAUUAACUUCGAUUUGCUUUACUGGGAUUUUUUUUUUUAAAUACAUCUUUUCCAUGUCAGUGCAUAGCACUUCACCAGUCAUUUGUAUUCCCUUUCAAUCCAAUAAACAGAAUGAAUAC